rnacentral:rRNA from 1 species
CCUGGCUCAGGAUGAACGCUGGCGGCGCGCCUAACACAUGCAAGUCGAACGAGCGAGAGAGAGCUUGCUUUCUCAAGCGAGUGGCGAACGGGUGAGUAACGCGUGAGGAACCUGCCUCAAAGAGGGGGACAACAGUUGGAAACGACUGCUAAUACCGCAUAAGCCCACGGCUCGGCAUCGAGCAGAGGGAAAAGGAGCAAUCCGCUUUGAGAUGGCCUCGCGUCCGAUUAGCUAGUUGGUGAGGUAACGGCCCACCAAGGCGACGAUCGGUAGCCGGACUGAGAGGUUGAACGGCCACAUUGGGACUGAGACACGGCCCAGACUCCUACGGGAGGCAGCAGUGGGGAAUAUUGCACAAUGGGGGAAACCCUGAUGCAGCGACGCCGCGUGGAGGAAGAAGGUCUUCGGAUUGUAAACUCCUGUUGUUGAGGAAGAUAAUGACGGUACUCAACAAGGAAGUGACGGCUAACUACGUGCCAGCAGCCGCGGUAAAACGUAGGUCACAAGCGUUGUCCGGAAUUACUGGGUGUAAAGGGAGCGCAGGCGGGAAGACAAGUUGGAAGUGAAAUCCAUGGGCUCAACCCAUGAACUGCUUUCAAAACUGUUUUUCUUGAGUAGUGCAGAGGUAGGCGGAAUUCCCGGUGUAGCGGUGGAAUGCGUAGAUAUCGGGAGGAACACCAGUGGCGAAGGCGGCCUACUGGGCACCAACUGACGCUGAGGCUCGAAAGUGUGGGUAGCAAACAGGAUUAGAUACCCUGGUUAGUCACACUGUAAACGAUGAGUACUGGGGGUUGGGGGAUGGACCCGCUUCAGUGCCGCAGUUAACACAAUAAGUAAUUCACCUGGGGAGUACGACCGCAAGGUUGAAACUCAAAGGAAUUGACGGGGGCCCGCACAAGCAGUGGAGUAUGUGGUUUAAUUCGACGCAACGCGAAGAACCUUACCAAGUCUUGACAUCCCUUGACGAUGCUGGAAACAGUAUUUCUCUUCGGAGCAAGGAGACAGGUGGUGCAUGGUUGUCGUCAGCUCGUGUCGUGAGAUGUUGGGUUAAGUCCCGCAACGAGCGCAACCCUUAUGGUCAGUUACUACGCAAGAGGACUCUGGCCAGACUGCCGUUGACAAAACGGAGGAAGGUGGGGAUGACGUCAAAUCAUCAUGCCCUUUAUGACUUGGGCUACACACGUACUACAAUGGCGUUAAACAAAGAGAAGCAAGACCGCGAGGUGGAGCAAAACUCAGAAACAACGUCCCAGUUCGGACUGCAGGCUGCAACUCGCCUGCACGAAGUCGGAAUUGCUAGUAAUCGCAGAUCAGCAUGCUGCGGUGAAUACGUUCCCGGGCCUUGUACACACCGCCC